CGGUUCGUUGUUUUUCUUUCAAAAAAGAGCCGACUCUCGACCUCGAUUCCCCGACCUGGACGCCGCCGCCGCUCCCCACCGAUCUCGCCGCCGACAAUCCCUCCUUCAUCUGGCCACUCCCAGGCUCCGCGACCCACCCAGCUUUGCCCACGAGUGCGCCGCCCCUCCUCUUCGCCAUAGCCAUAAGCUUCGCCACACGUACCUCCCUCCUCUGCUCCGACCAUGGCGAGAUUCUUGAUUCAACCCUUUGUUUGACUCUGUUCGUGUGGAUCAGUUCAUGUGCAUAUGUAAAUGUUAUUUAGGUGGCCACACAACGGCCAGGGGUAUAUGCUUCUCCUACCACUCACGCCUUCAUCCUAUUUGAGCCAGAAUGGCUUUGUUGCCCUCUCUCGCUCAUGGUGAGGCCAUGCACCCUUGCCAUGGUAAUGGCUAUGAAAUCUCAGACCGAGUCGCUUCAGUCAGGCACUAUGCAGGUAUAACUCGCUUUGCUCCAUCAUCACAUGCUUGACGAAAUUUCAGAGAUGGUGGUGAUCUAGCUGUUAUUAGACCAUCCUUGUUACAAAACUUUAUUGGGUUCAAGGGUCUUAAGAAUUGGUAAUUUCUCGAUUGUAUAGCUAGAAAUGUAGUUCUUAAAAGAUUUUGAUGUCAAAUUGUUUAUGGAAUCUCGAGUGAAAAUAUUUUCCUAUUAAAUGAUUAGAUUCUACAACAACCUCUGAUCUAAAUCCUAAAUUACUGUAUCGUGUGCAUGGUUUGCUCACAUCACAAAUUUCUAACAAGAAGAUAGGUCCUGAGUUCAGUUGCAACCAAAACAUUUAACUUCCAGUUCAACAUUGCAUAUAGUUUACCCCCAUUAGACAUUGCAUUUAUCUUCCUGAUUACUUCCAUAACGCUUUCAAAUCUGUGAAGAGAGACUUGAUAGUUUGUUAUUAUGGUUUAAGUUAGAAAUUGUAUUUAUCUUCCUUGACUAUUCUUCCAUAAGCUAUCAAUUCUGUUAGAAAGACCUUAUUAGUUGUUCAUUCAAUUUAAGUUAUUGUGGGAUGCAUACACCAUGUAUUACUUCUUUUGCACGUACAGUUCUGUUAUAUAUGGAUCUGAUAAUGCUUCCUCACGCUUGAGCCAAUUACCUUACAUAUUAAGGUGACAACUUUAGGUCCAUAUGUGUUCCUGUUGUCUGGGAGUUGGGAUCAAAUGAGUUCGGAGAAAAAAUUUAUGGCAAAAACGGACCCAUUGGUUAGCAGGUUCUUAGUAGGGUACCCUUAUUACUAUGUGGAUCAUUGCAUGGCGCGAGGCAAAGUUGAGUGGAGGCAAAGAAUAGAAGACAUCGUCUUUUUUUAGAUUAAUAAUAGAACACAUAGUCGGUACAUUUCCGGAUGGUGUCGCCGGCGCAGCCGUGGCUCUGUCCUCGGCUCAACCGACAUGGAUGUCCAGACAUGGUGGACAUCUUUCUGUACGGUGUGGUCGGUACUACUCCCUGGUGGAACAGGCUUGAAUCCCUCUUAUUCGUCCCUGGCGGCACUGUUGUUUCUUCUUUUUCUAGGAGUCAAGGUUGUAUUCCUGAGGGGAGCAUACAUAUUAUCUUGAUUGAGUUGACUUUUGGCUACUGUAUUACUGUUACAACUUACCAGCAACAUAGAAAGAGAGUCAUGUCUGAUAAGGUAUUCUACUUCAGUUGUAUGCUUGCAGAGCAUUUGGUUUUUCCAUCCAAGUAUUACUAAACUCUACCAAGUUUUAUAAUGACACAGGAUAUGUACCAAGUAAUGAGUAUGUACUAUGUACAGAAGUUUUGGUUCUUGGUUCUUGCAUGGAGGUGAGCAACAAUGGGCUGCAAACGCGGCUGCCGCCCAUCACCUGCUCGAAUUCAAGCACAACCGUAGGCUGCCUUAAAUGUGGGGACUUGUCAAAGGAUGAUGGUCUACUGCCAAAGGAGUUGGCAAGAUAACUGCACAUUUAACACCCGCACUGUCCGAACAAGUUCUAUCAACAAUUUUGUAGCAUUUUUCUCCAGAAACCACUUCAACUAGCCCAGGGCUAUAUCUAUUAGUCCUCCAGUAUUUGUUGGAAUGAGAGAACACAUUUUAUGCCAGGUAAAAGGCUACUGAAGCACGGAGAUUUUUGUAAUUUCUUGGAAAGAUUAAGCCAAUGGACCCAGGAUGCAUGCUUCAAGUGUCUACAGAUUACAGGAAACAUGUUUCUUCAAGUGCCUACAUGCUACAGGAAGGCUUGGAGACAAGACGCAGCCGGCAGCCGCUUGUUGACUCGACGACGAGGCACAUUAGAUGUGGUUGGCGCAACUCAAACUUGAAGAUGAGAAGAUGAGAUGCUGCCGACAAUCUAACUCGUCAAGGUAGAAUUUCCCAAGGUGUCAUCUGGAGGCCAUGGAUAGCAUGGCGUGGAGUGCCUGCGAUUUCGAUGCGUUGGACUCCUAACAUCGUGCUGCCCACCGUGCGUGUGCUUGCCGGCGACAAACAGAACAACAACAAGAAGAUGCUUUUGCAGUGAAGAACAAAUGAAUGUAGACUAGAUAUCCACUCCAGAAUGCAUAUGUAAUACGUGCAUGCUUAUCAUACAUUUCUCUAUGGAUGUAUCAAAUUUAGUGAAUAUACUUCAAUUUCAGCAGAGUAUAUACUUCAUUCAAGUGGAUAUACUUCAAAUCAAUUUCAGCAGAGAGUAUGCAUCAUUCGUAUGAACAACUGAAUAUACUGCUAUAUCAGCUGGGUAUAUCCUUUUUUUGGUCAAGAAGUAUAUACUCCAAUAAAAAAAAGUAUAUACUCUCCAAUUAAAAAAUUAAGUACAAACUCCUAAACCCUUGGCCACAGUACUCCAAUUAAAAUUUAAAUAUUUAGUAUAUACUCUUCUCGCUAGUACUAGAUACUCAUUGAUCGCAAUGCUAAUUGCACAAGAAAGCAACUAAAAAAUUGCACAAGAAAACCGUAUACUUUUGUUAUAAGCAGUAUAUACCGGUCUAAAAAUAUAUACAUCACAAAAUAGUAUAUAAUCCUACUUUUUUUGAAGUAUAUACUCCUAUGAAGAAACGACUGUAUAUACUUCUUUUUGUGGUAGGUUGUUCUUUGAUCGGAGAGUAGUAUAUAUGUCGCAUAUACUGCAAAAUAGUGCUUCCAGCACACAUUGAUAGGGAACAAGAAUUAGUUAUUCCUCAUGUAUGAAUGAUGCUCAAAGCAUUCAUUGUUAAUCUAGGACUCCCGACUGAUGUUCUUGAAUUACAACUCUACACAUGGCCUACAAGCAGUCACCCAGUCACUUAGCUAAUCCAAACAGAGCAAAAUUAUCCGAAGAACCUGUCUAGAUCUUAUGGAGCAAUAUAUUGCAGCAAUCGAAGGAAAUAACAACCUAGUCCAUAUGACAAUGUUGUGACAAUAUAUCCAAGCAAAUAUAUUGCAGCAACCAACUGAAGAACCACUCUGAUUGAAAGAGGCG